rnacentral:rRNA from 1 species
GACAGAGGCCCCGAGCGUUAGGCGGAAUCACUGGGCUUAAAGCGUGUGUAGGCGGGCCCGUAAGUGUCUUGUGAAAUCCCACGGCUCAACCGUGGAACUGCUGGGCAUACUGCGGGUCUUGGGCCAACUAGGGGCAGCCGGAACAAGCGGUGGAGCGGUGAAAUGCGUAGAUAUCGGAAGGAACACCGGUGGCGAAAGCGGCGCGCUGGACCUCUACUGACGCUGAGGCGCGAAAGUCAGGGGAGCAAACGGG